UCAUUUCUUACUACCAAGGAAAGUAUAAGAUUAGUAUAUUUGCCAAUUUAUUUCUCCCUCAGGUUUCCACAUAAACAAUUCAACGUGCUAGCCCGCAAAUUCAUGAUCGCUUCCUUUUUCCGGUAAGUCAAGAUUCCCUCUCUCCAGAUCCACUCCACACAGAUUAAACAUUCAACAAACAAAUCAUUAACACAAAGCAAAAAUUACAAAUUAUAAGCCAUUCAAUUCAUUAUACAUUUCGAACAGAAAAAAAGAAAAAAGAAAAAUGAAGGACGACGAAUCAACACAUUCAUCGAAGAAGGAAACAUUAUCUGAUUGGACACUAUUUGGAAGAGGUGGAUACAAGUUUUAUGCAUUGGCGGGUAUACUUUUAUUAGCAUUUUGGUCAAUGUUUACUGGUACUGUUACUCUCCGUUGGUCUGCUGGUAACCUUAACACUCUCUCCGAUCUCUUCGAUUUUCCUCUCUCCGAUGAUCUCGACAUCCUCGAAAUGGAAGAGAGGGAAAAGUUGGUGAAGCAUAUGUGGGAUGUGUAUACUAAUAGUCCUCGGAUCAGAUUGCCUAAGUUUUGGCAGGAGGCAUUUGAGGCUGCCUAUGAGGAAUUAAGCAAUGACGUUGCUGAAGUUCGAGAGGCUGCUAUCUCCGAGAUCUCUAAGAUGUCUCUCCGAUUUGUUCAUAUUGAGCUGCCACCUCCACGUUCGCUGUCUUCUUUUCAUUAGAGAGCUCGCAACCACAUUUGUUCUCCGUGUGAGAAUCUAAAGGAGUUAAAUAAGUCCAAUAGCAGCCACUAUACUUCCGCAGAAUCUUUCUUGGAGUUGCUACACUGGGCUUCUACUAAGUUAACUAUUCAAGAUCUAAAAGCAAGCAAAUAGUCCAUUCAGAGGAGUUAUUAUGAACUUCAAGGGAAAAAUGCAUCAUUGCCACAGUUGUGAUCUUUUAAGGAUGAUACUACUUUCAGGGAGAAACGAUCAGGAAUUCAGUAAUGUAAAGGGAGUAAGAGAAUUAAGUCAAAAACAAGCUGAGAACAAACAGAGGACUGCAACAGGAAGUAACUUAUGACAAGAACAUCAAGGAUCCAAAUUUGCACGGUUUCCACUUAUUUAUACAAGACGAAUGAAAACAUGCACUAACCUGCUCCCUGGUAUUUGACUAAAGGGCAUAUUUGGGAAAAUAUUACAUUCAGGUUCCUCGCAUUUUUGCAACAGGAAUGAACAUAAUUAACUUUUUGUUACUUCUGCUUCUUUUUUCCCUCUAUCUCAUCUCCCCAUUUAAAGCUCAUACAAGUUCAACAGUAUCAUUACUUAAUUGCUUCAUGCAAAGAGAUUGGAAAUUUACUCUUUGAGGUUUUUUACACUGGAAGAACCCUUACUAAUUUUUACACUUGAUGCCCAUUAUACAAGCUUGCACGGGAAUAGAAAGAUUAUAUAUUUAUAUUGAGUUCGCAUGGUAA